GUCACACACACACAUGUAGACAGUCACACCCACACAGGCAGACAGUCACACACACACACCCAGUCACACACACACAGGCAGACAGACACAUACACACACACACAGGCAGUCACACACAGGCAGACAGUCUCACACACACACACACACAGGCAGUCACACACAGGCAGACAGUCACACACACAAACACAGACACACACAGGCAGACAGUCACACACACACACACAGGCAGACAGUCACACAGGCAGUCACACACAGGCAG